rnacentral:rRNA from 1 species
UAAUACAGAGGUCCCAAGCGUUGUUCGGAUUCACUGGGCGUAAAGGGUGCGUAGGUGGUCGGUCAAGUUCGAUGUGAAAUCUCCGGGCUCAACUCGGAAAUGGCAUUGAAUACUGCCCGGCUGGAGGGUCGAAGGGGAGACUGGAAUUCUCGGUGUAGCAGUGAAAUGCGUAGAUAUCGAGAGGAACACCAGUGGCGAAGGCGAGUCUCUGGACGACUCCUGACACUGAGGCACGAAAGCUAGGGGAGCAAACAGG